rnacentral:rRNA from 1 species
GUGAUGUCAGAGCUUCCUCUGGCGGAUCAGUGGCGAACGGGUGAGUAACACGUGAGUAACCUGCCCCCGACUCUGGGAUAACUGCUAGAAAUGGUAGCUAAUACCGGAUAUGACGAUUGGCCGCAUGGUCUGGUCGUGGAAAGAAUUUCGGUUGGGGAUGGACUCGCGGCCUAUCAGGUUGUUGGUGAGGUAAUGGCUCACCAAGCCUACGACGGGUAGCCGGCCUGAGAGGGUGACCGGCCACACUGGGACUGAGACACGGCCCAGACUCCUACGGGAGGCAGCAGUGGGGAAUAUUGCACAAUGGGCGAAAGCCUGAUGCAGCAACGCCGCGUGAGGGAUGACGGCCUUCGGGUUGUAAACCUCUUUUAGUAGGGAAGAAGCGAAAGUGACGGUACCUGCAGAAAAAGCACCGGCUAACUACGUGCCAGCAGCCGCGGUAAUACGUAGGGUGCAAGCGUUGUCCGGAAUUAUUGGGCGUAAAGAGCUCGUAGGCGGUUUGUCGCGUCUGCUGUGAAAUCCCGAGGCUCAACCUCGGGUCUGCAGUGGGUACGGGCAGACUAGAGUGCGGUAGGGGAGAUUGGAAUUCCUGGUGUAGCGGUGGAAUGCGCAGAUAUCAGGAGGAACACCGAUGGCGAAGGCAGAUCUCUGGGCCGUAACUGACGCUGAGGAGCGAAAGCAUGGGGAGCGAACAGGAUUAGAUACCCUGGUAGUCCAUGCCGUAAACGUUGGGAACUAGAUGUGGGGACCAUUCCACGGUCUCCGUGUCGCAGCUAACGCAUUAAGUUCCCCGCCUGGGGAGUACGGCCGCAAGGCUAAAACUCAAAGGAAUUGACGGGGGCCCGCACAAGCGGCGGAGCAUGCGGAUUAAUUCGAUGCAACGCGAAGAACCUUACCAAGGCUUGACAUAUACCGGAAACAUGCAGAAAUGUGUGCCCCGCAAGGUCGGUAUACAGGUGGUGCAUGGUUGUCGUCAGCUCGUGUCGUGAGAUGUUGGGUUAAGUCCCGCAACGAGCGCAACCCUCGUUCUAUGUUGCCAGCACGUAAUGGUGGGAACUCAUAGGAGACUGCCGGGGUCAACUCGGAGGAAGGUGGGGAUGACGUCAAAUCAUCAUGCCCCUUAUGUCUUGGGCUUCACGCAUGCUACAAUGGCCGGUACAAAGGGCUGCGAUACCGUAAGGUGGAGCGAAUCCCAAAAAGCCGGUCUCAGUUCGGAUUGAGGUCUGCAACUCGACCUCAUGAAGUCGGAGUCGCUAGUAAUCGCAGAUCAGCAACGCUGCGGUGAAUACGUUCCCGGGCCUUGUACACACCGCCCGUCAAGUCAUGAAAGUCGGUAACACCCGAAGCCAGUGGCCUAACCGCAAGGGAGGAGCUGUCGAAGGUGGGAUCGGUGAUUAGGACUAAGUCGUAACAAGGUAGCCGUAC